rnacentral:sRNA from 1 species
UGCAAUUAAAAGAAGUGAUGGAAGAUAUGAAGCCACAUAUUGAUAAUGAAACGAUCGUCGUAUGUACGAUGAAUGGUCUGAAGCAUGAAGAAGUCAUUGCGCAGUAUGUUGCUCAAUCACAAAUUGUCAGAGGUGUUACGACUUGGACGGCAGGUCUUGAAAGCCCUGGACACAGUCAUUUACUUGGUAGUGGACCAGUUGAAAUAGGUGAACUAGUGGAUGAAGGUAAAGAAAAUGUUAUAAAAGUUGCUGAUUUACUUAACGAAGCGGAAUUGAAUGGUGUCAUUAGUAAAGAUUUAUACCAAUCGAUUUGGAAAAAGAUUUGUGUUAAUGGUACGGCAAAUGCAUUAAGCACAGUAUUGGAGUGUAAUAUGGCAUCACUGAAUGAAAGUAGUUAUGCGAAGUGUUUGAUUUAUAAAUUAACGCAAGAAAUAGUGCAUGUAGCGACGAUUGAUAAUGUUCAUUUAAAUGUUGAUGAAGUAUUUGAAUAUUUAGUUGAUUUAAAUGAAAAAGUUGGUGCGCAUUAUCCAUCCAUGUAUCAAGAUUUAAUUGUUAAUAAUAGAAAAACUGAAAUUGAUUAUAUUAAUGGCGCAGUUGCAACAUUAGGUAAACAACGUCAUAUUGAAGCGCCAGUCAAUCGCUUUAUUACUGAUUUAAUUCAUACUAAAGAAAGUCAGCGACAUGCACAGGAUUAAUUAGUGUUUUUAGGUAUGAUUACAAGGAAAUGACAAUCACGUGAUAUUACGGUCAUUAUUAAGAUUGAAAUGUAAUAAAUAAAGAACAGCAGUAAGGUACUUUCAAAUUGAAAUGAUCU